rnacentral:lncRNA from 1 species
GGAGGUUCUCUGUGGCCCGGCAAGGCCCCUGGGGGCUGCCCCAGGUACGGAAUCACAUACCCCCCCAUCCCCCACUGCCCCUGGGAGUCGUCUGGCUUGAGCAGUGGGCUUUAUGUCCAGUUUUAUUUAGCAUCGCUGGGGGAGUGUGUGCAGUGUACAGCUGGGCUCUUGGUGUGCCCUGCACAGGGACCGAUGAUGCUUACUUUGCUGAUGAUCUCCCUGGGAACUGUGUCUCUGUGUCUGUUUAGCAGGGCAGGUUUGGCUGUGUGCAGAAGACUAGUGACACUCAGGCGCCGUACUCUCCGAUUAUUUUAGCCUGUGGUAUUUGAUGUGACUCAUAGUUCUCACUUAUGUGGACAUCAUUUUACCUGUUGCCAGGUACUUUAGGCAGCUUUGUGACUUUUAUAGUUAUGGGAAAGCUGGCAGAAGCUGGCACCGUGUCCUUCCAUACCCUCCAGCUCUUGCCCCGGUGAGGUUUCUUUCCUAAUUGAUUUUCAUUUUUUCCCCCUGCACUGUAAGCUCUGUAAAGACCAGAGACUUUGUAUUCUCUAUUGAGCAUCAAAAACAGAGCUCGUUACCUAGGCG